UUAACUCCCAGUGCUGGAGCCUGUGUUUUCCUUCAGUGGAGAUAAUAGAGUUUGAUUCUCACUGUGAAGAUACCAAAGGCUGUUAACUCAAGUGCAGUGAAGAUAAGCUAACCAGUCUAUAUAUGGAACCAUGCAAGGUAUGGAUUAUACAGAAUAGCCCAGCCCCAUUUUGAAGUAAGAGGAGAGAAAGUAUAUGAGAAAAUUUUCAAGUGCAAUGCCUAGUUCAUUGCAGAUCCAAGUGUAG